CACUUCCAUACUUCUGGUAAUAGACUUACAGCCAAUAGCAUUCCUACUUUAAAUUUAUUUGUUAAUGAUGGGAGUAUACCUGUUACUGGCCUGGAACAUCAAACUGUUCCUGAUGUUAUUUCUGUACAAAUACCUUCAUUCUCACGUGGAACAAAAAAAGUAUUUGCAAAGAAAGGAUUCUAAAUGGCAAAAGCACAAAUUUCAACAGAGAGGACAACAUUAAACUCCAGGCGGAAAAAUAUUAUAAGACACGUAUUCUUAAAAAUAAAAAGAAAUAAUACAACAAAUUGCGUUUUCUUUAUC